GUACUGAGACACGGACCAGACUCCUACGGGAGGCAGCAGUGAGGAAUAUUGGACAAUGGGCGCAAGCCUGAUCCAGCCAUGCCGCGUGCAGGAUGACGGUCCUAUGGAUUGUAAACUGCUUUUGUACAGGAAGAAACACCUCUACGUGUAGAGACUUGACGGUACUGUAAGAAUAAGGAUCGGCUAACUCCGUGCCAGCAGCCGCGGUAAU
rnacentral:rRNA from 1 species